UCCUACGGGAGGCAGCAGUGGGGAAUAUUGCACAAUGGGGGAAACCCUGAUGCAGCGACGCCGCGUGAAGGAAGAAGUAUUUCGGUAUGUAAACUUCUAUCAGCAGGGAAGAAAAUGACGGUACCUGACUAAGAAGCCCCGGCUAACUACGUGCCAGCAGCCGCGGUAAUACGUAGGGGGCAAGCGUUGUCCGGAUUUACUGGGUGUAAAGGGAGCGUAGGCGGCGAUGCAAGUCAGAAGUGAAAGCGCGAGGCUCAAGUCCGGGACUGCUGUUGAAACUGAAUGGCUAGAUUGCA
rnacentral:rRNA from 1 species